AUGAAGGGGGGGCGUGGGGAUGGCCGAGCGCAUCGAGGACGACAACACCCAGCGGCAGUUGCGGGCGGCGCUCGGUGCUGCAGUCCUGCGGGACGCAGAGGCGAGCGAGCGCGAGGCUGCGUGAGGGGAGCUGGCGAGGCCUGGGCGAAAGCAGGCGCGAGUGGUCGCGGUGCCGGACGCGCGCGCUGGGCGCGGCCAGCGCGAGGGGCCACGGGCGGGGUGCGAGCGGUGAUGGUGAGGGGUGCACUGAGCAGGGCCGAGAGAAGAAGGGGGGUCGCCCACAUCGUUGGAGAGAGGGGGACGGCGAGGCCUAGGGAGGUCCGGCGAGGGAGAGGCGGGGACGGGGCAGUCUGGCGGUGA
rnacentral:rRNA from 1 species